GAAAGGGGAGGGGGCGGCGGCGGCAGAGGCGGCAUCGUUAUUUCCGUGGUCCGGACAGUGCGUGGCGGCGCGGGUGACCACGGGAGAAGUAGGCAUAAUGGUUAUGAAAGCUUCUGUAGAUGAUGACGAUUCAGGAUGGGAGCUCAGUAUGCCGGAAAAAAUGGAAAAAAGCAAUACAAACUGGGUGGACAUUACCCAAGAUUUUGAAGAAGCUUGUCGAGAAUUAAAGUUGGGAGAACUACUUCAUGAUAAGCUAUUUGGUCUUUUUGAAGCCAUGUCUGCUAUUGAAAUGAUGGAUCCCAAGAUGGAUGCUGGCAUGAUUGGAAACCAAGUUAAUCGAAAAGUUCUCAAUUUUGAACAAGCUAUCAAGGAUGGCACUAUUAAAAUUAAAGAUCUCACCUUGCCUGAACUGAUAGGGAUUAUGGAUACAUGUUUUUGCUGUUUGAUAACAUGGUUAGAAGGCCAUUCGUUGGCACAGACAGUAUUUACGUGCCUUUACAUUCAUAAUCCAGACUUUAUAGAAGAUCCUGCUAUGAAGGCUUUUGCUCUGGGAAUCUUGAAAAUCUGUGACAUUGCAAGGGAAAAAGUAAAUAAAGCUGCUGUUUUUGAAGAGAUUUCGCGGCUCCUAGAACUGAUUGAUUUUCAUGAAUAUAAUUUUAAAAAUGAAAAUGUUCAAUGUUGGAAGGAAUG
rnacentral:sRNA from 1 species